rnacentral:rRNA from 1 species
UAUGCUUAACACAUGCAAGUCGAACGGCAGCACAGGGAGCUUGCUCCUGGGUGGCGAGUGGCGGACGGGUGAGUAACGCGUGAGGAUCUGCCCUUAGGUGGGGGACAACAGUUGGAAACGACUGCUAAUACCCCAUAUGCCGAGAGGUGAAAGAUUAAUUGCCUGAGGGUGAACUCGCGGCUGAUUAGCUAGUUGGUGGGGUAAGGGCCUACCAAGGCGACGAUCAGUAGCUGGUCUGAGAGGACGAUCAGGCCACACUGGAACGGAGACACGGUCCAGACUCCUACGGGAGGCAGCAGUGGGGAAUUUUCCGCAAUGGGCGCAAGCCUGACGGGGCAAUACCGCGUGCGGGAGGAAGGCCCUUGGGUCGUAAACCGCUAUUAACAGGGAAGAAUAGCUGACGGUACCUGUUGAAUAAGCCUCGGCUAACUCCGUGCCAGCCGCCGCCGUAAAAC